rnacentral:rRNA from 1 species
GAAAAGCACUCUGGAGAGAGAGUCAAAAGACCGUGAAACCGCUCAGAGUAUAAGCCCAUGGCAGCUUGGAAGGCAUAUCGAAAGCGGGGCAUCGGUCUGCCUUCGCGGGGAGUCGGUGUUACCUUGCUUCUGUUGUGGCUCGUCAUGGUAGGGGGGUCAGGUCCACAUCCCGCCGUCGUGUGGGGGGUUCUCGGGUGUGUUGUGGUUUCUCGGUUGGCUUCGGCUGGCCGGGGGGCCCUUCGUGCUUGGUUCCUCUUUGGACACGGACGUUCAGACUCAGAAGCAAGACGCGAUAAACAGCCCACCACGGCACGUUGUGAGGUCACCCACAGGCUCGACUUUCGAUCGUGAACCUUGACGCCGAGCAAGCACAAUGCGUGUCGCUUAUGUUCCUAACCGGGCAACGCUGCCAGGACCGUGGAACGACACGCGCUCAACAGUCAGGUUCGGGCGGAGACAGAGUUCUGGUAUGAUCCUCUUGCGACGAGCCGGCUUCUGGCCAACAUCCGAUGCUCAGGUCUCCCGCAUGUGCCGCGGGAGAUCGCCUUGACGGUCUGGAUCUUUCACGAGUCCUCUCAGUCGGGCAACGGAUAGAGUGGUGUAAAGUCCAAGCCCAUCGGUCACGUCUCGAAACACGGGCCAAGGAGUAUAGCAUGUGUGCAAGUCUAAGAGUCUCACAAAACUCGAAGGCGAAGUGAAAGCAAGUAAGCGGCGGGUGAUCUACGGAGAGAUCCCGUCAGCUAGAGGGGCUCUCGGGCCUCUCCGGCUUUGGCAGAGUUGAUCCUGCAGUGGUACCGCACACGUACGCUCAGGCGCAAACUCCAGGCUCACGUUUCGCACUGGUUCUCGGACUGUGCUGUGAGCACUGUGGAGCAUGCAUGCUAUGACCCGAAAGAUAGUGAACUAUGCCUGGCGAGGGCGAAGCCCCAGGAAACUGGGGUGGAGGCCCGUAGCCGUUGUGACGUGCAAAUCCAUGGUAUCAGUUGGGCAUAGGGGCGAAAGACCAAUCGAACUAUCUAGUAGCU